rnacentral:sRNA from 1 species
UGGUUUGUUUCUUGCUGUUUUUACUCUGUCCUCUGUGCGUGCGUCUCCUACUGGUACUCGUGGGAAGGGUUAGGUGGAAAAGAAGCAGGCCCUGUUCUCACGUUUGCUUUUGUGUUCCCAAGGAGCCACCUUCCUCGUCACAUUUGGAAACUCAGAGAAACCUGAAACUAUGACUUGUCGUCUUUCCAAUAACCAGAGAUACUUGUUUCUGGAUGGAGACAGCCACUAUGAAAUCGAAAUUGUACACAUUUCCACCGUGCAGAUCCUCACAGAAGGCUUCCCUCCUGGAGGUAAAUGCCAGCACAUCCUUUCCUAAGCCAGGAGGGUUUGGUGCCAUGCGUGGGUGACAAGAGGAGCAUGCACUUUUGGGAUCAGGCAGCCGCCCUGAGGAGCGGGGUCUGCUGGGUUUCCAGGACAACCUGCCUUUCCUCUUUUGCGGGGCGUGUAUUUACUCAGUGGCUUUAGAACUCGCCAGGUGAGUGGAGACUUAAACUGUAAGACA